UUAUUAAACCCAGGUCCUCUGCAAGAGUAGCAAAUGUUCUUAACUGCUGAGCCAUCCCUCUAGACCCCUAGCUCACAUUUUUAAAAUCAUAAAGUAAUCCAUUCUGUGUUUUCUUUACAUUGGAUGUGGAAAUACAAAAGCCUAGUUUAUAUUUUGCUUUUUGAAUUUGAUGACAUUUUGCCUUGAAGUCCUUGGGUAUUUGGGAGGGUAGACAAUUUACAUAGGAAAGUAGAGGCCUGAGAAUUUUGUUACCUCUUGCCUCAGCUUCCUGAAAACUGGCAUUACAGAUCCGCUAUACCGUGCUACGAGGAGACAGAUGCUUUCAUUAUUAACCUGUAUUCCUAACAACUGAACUAAAUUUAGAAGCUAGUGUACAUUAACUUGGAUUAGUUUUUGAGACUAUAGCCAUGGCUUGUUUGGAAUUCACUAUGUAGGCCAGGCUGGCCACAAACUUACUUGCCUGCCUUUGCCUCCUCAGUGCUGGGUCUAAAGGUGCACCUCCACUGUCUGUGAUACAGAGAAGGGAAGUGUUUGUUAGAUACAAAAUUGGAGCAAACAUUAGGAAGUGUUUUCUGGUUCCAACCAAAUUGGUGGGCUGGGCUACUUAGCAGCAUUGGCAGAAGAAUGCUUGUUAUUGCAGUGUAACAAAGCACCUACCAUUAUGGUACAAAGUCUCAAAACUUUGACAAAUAUCUGGGUCUUGGGAAGGUCUUCGGCCUUUCAUUCACCUGGGUUGGAAGGGGUCCCUUUGAGCACUUUAUUAGUGGCUGCCUUUACAUAGCAUGGUGCCUACAGGGCAGCUGGGCGGGUGUGGGGGCAUUUCAAGGCUUCCAGGUUAAGGCAAAGCAGAUGCUGACUUAGGACUUGACCUUCAAAGUCUAGCAAAACUUCCACCAUAAAAACAUCCCAGAUAUAAGGAAAAGCGAAGUAGACUGAAUUUCUUGCUUGGAGGAGGUGGUAUAUCAGAAUGCAAGAAGAGCAAGUGGGAUUGGAGAUAGAUUGGUUCAGCCAAUCCAAAAUAGACUGUGGACCUUUACUCAGACAUUUUUACUACCACAGGUAUAGGAUUCAAGUUUUCUCAAGAGAACAGAUUUUGUGUGGCUACAGUGUAUGCUGUGUUCAAGCUAAUGAGAAUUGCUUGCUCUGUAGUUAGAGAUACAUUUCAAAGCCAUUUCUGAUAGACAAAAGCAUUUUAUCCUCAAAAUCCAAGUAAAAUGUCCAGUUAAAAUUUUUAAAGUCAGGCUGAAGAGCCGGCUUAGCAGUUAGGAGCACUGGCUGCUCUUGCAAAGGACUGGGUUCAGUUCCCAGCACCCACGUGACUGCUCACAACCAAGCAUAACUCCAGAUCCAACUCCCUCUUCUGACCUCUGUGGGCAUUGCAAGCAUGUGGUGCACUUACAUGCAGGUAAAACAUAAAAUUUUAAAGUUUUAAAAUUCACCUGGGUUUGGUGAUACAUGCCUGUAACUAGCAUCUGGGAAGUGGAGGUAGAGAAUUGCAAGUCUGAAACCUAUCUGGGCUACUUAGUGAGAUGGUGUCUAAAAAAUUUUGAGAACUUUGAAGAUUUUCAAAUUCGCUGAUAACCAAAUAUAUAAAUCUAAUACACAUACUGGGAUACUUUUUUAUAUUUAAUAAAAUGUCAAUUCUGUAGAACAUUCAGGAGAAUAAGAGUAUGUGAGAUUGGCAGUUGAAUUCAAGGACAAGGUGGCAUUGCCUAUCAAUUUAUAGAGGCUUCACAAAUAAAAAUUACCUUGCAGAGCAUCUAAAACUUGAUUUUCUUAGAUUAUUCAUACUGGGUGACUGGUGUAACAAAAUCAAACAGAGGUGCUGACCGCUUAAGUCUCCAUGUGUAAAGGUUUCAUGAAAUUUUUUGGCCAUAUUUUAAACUGAAAUUAUUAACAUUUCUAUCAUAUUCAAGAAAUGUCCAAAACAUUAAUGUUCAUAAGUCUUGCUGUUAACUUAGGAGUUACACAUUGCUUCUUUUAGCAAAAGAAACUGUAUAGUUGUUUACAUAAUUUUUAAGGCAAAAAUCUCAAAAUCUCAACUAUCAAAAAUCAAACUGAUUUUAAAUUCAGAGGAAUCUAUAGUUGACAGUUGAAUGUUAUUCCUUCCCUGAAAUAUCAAGUAAGUAUAUAUUAGUAAGAUAGCUUUCCUCAGAUAACUAUUGAAUAAUUCGUCUUAUAAAACCCUGACUUCACAUUCUCAGAAAUUCUCCUAGAAGCACAUAAAAUGUUAACCAUUGACAUGGCUUAUGAAUUUCCUGCUUACUGGUGUGGCCUGACAAGUUUCCUACAAUGCAGUUAUGUUAAAGUUUUCAUGUGUGUUUUAAUAGACUCUCAAGUGCUGUGCAUGCAACAAUCACUUAAUAAAGUCUUGUACUGGAUGAUAGUUGGGAUGUGUCUCCUACAUAAGAUAUAAUUCCCACCCAAUACUGUACACAAGAAUUUGAUGUACAAAUAAGUGGCUUUGUGGAGUGCAGAGUUUGCAAGAUUUGAAGAUGGGGGUAAUUGAUUCCAGAGGCAGUAUUGUUUCAAAUCCCAUGAUCUCAAUGACAGAGGGCUUUAUCAACCCAUGUUAAAAACUGAUAAAUCUCAAUUCACAGUUGAAAUCUGAAUAUGUGGGCUGCCCAACAUUUACUCAUGAAUAAACUAUUACUCAUUU